rnacentral:rRNA from 1 species
UACGUAGGGUGCAAGCGUUAAUCGGAAUUACUGGGCGUAAAGCGUGCGCAGGCGGCUAUGCAAGACAGAUGUGAAAUUCCGGGGCUCAACCCCGGAGCUGCAUUUGAAACUGUCGAGCUAGAGUACAGUUAGGGUAAACGGAAUUCCACGUGUAGCGGUGAAAUGCGUAGAUAUGUGGAAGAACACCGGUGGUGAAAACGGUUUACUGGGCUGAAACUGACGCUGAGGCGCGAAAGCAUGGGGAGCAAACAGG